GAUCGGAAGAAUGGCUUCUCUAGGCGAGGUUUUGCUGCCCACUUGAGUCCCUCUCCUGAGUGCCCGGGAACUUGGUGACUCUAAAUGGGUUGCCAUGACCUGUGCAGGAUCACUGCGAUUGCUCUGGGCCAUGGAGAAGGUCACCAGGGAGCCCGAGCAUGUGCCCAGGUGCUUUGGCAGGCUUGAGCUAAAGGGAGGAAGCAAAGCACACUGCUCCAGGAAGAGAGAGAAAGAUGAGGAAGAAGAGGAGGAAAAAGAAAGGGCGGUGGGGGAAGAGGAGGCACUGUCUGGUGCAUGGCGGAGGCCUUGGAACCAUGGCCUUUGGAGAUGGUGUUCACUCUUGCUUCUGGUUUCUCUCCCUCUGGAACCUCUACCCUGCUAUCACCCAGGAAGGGAAGUCAGAAUCUUCCCCCAAUCCAAUGUCAAGUCCUCUGAUGGCUCCACAGGAGUGCCGGGCCUCUUGGCCUCCAGAACCCUGGCUCCUCCCACCUAGGCACUUCUUGUUUAGUUCCACUGAUGAUGUGGGCCUGCUCGCACAUGUCCAGACUGUUGGGGAGGCUGGGCUGGCCUGACCUGCAGGAUCCAGGGCAGGAUAGGAGCCUUUCUUUACACCCAACUGCUGAUCACAGAGUGUCUGGUGCCCAGAUGUUUCAGAAGGUUGGGGUAAGGAAACCCAAGUUUGUCACUGGGCAGGAUUAGGAACAGAGGGUGCAGGGAGACAAGCCUGAAGCAGGAGAGGAGCUGCGUGCAGAGGCUGUGCUGCUGUGAUCCCUGGCUUCUGAGGUGCGCUGUGGACAGGCAAGUGAUGAGGCCCUCACUGUGCUCCGCUCCUGAGCACUCUCGCUUUCACCCUGCCUUCCACCUUCCAGGUUCCAGUCUCCAGAGCUCAGCGUGUACAUUGACCUCUCUGAAAGUCCCCUUGAGCCCACUCUGUGGCUUCUUCCUUGCACUCCCGUGCUGCUCCUGUGCCCGCUGAACACUUCUCAUCCCGCACCUUGACCCUGUCACCGUUCCCGUGUCUGCAUGGCUCCCUUAGUGUCCUUGGAUGCAGGGACCUGGAUGCAAGUGUCCUGGCCUGGCACCGGUGGGUGGACUAGGUAUGUCCCCAGGUGAGCUGUGCAGGAAGGAUGCCUCACCACAGCCUUCUGAGCAGGCCGCAGUUGGUGUGGGGACCGCAGUGCCACUGGUGUCCUGCAGCCCCGGCUGUUCUCCAUUUGAACCAAAGCCAGUGACGUGAUGUGGAAAGUGAACUUCUGGUUUCAAACUACACAGUGGGAGUUUAACUUUAAAAGAUUGGUUAUAUUAAAAGACACACUGCCGUCAAGCCCCUCCAGACUCUCCCCUACUCGGAACACACUCAUCCCAUCGUGCUUGCCACCUCUGGAGGCCGUUCUACAGUCCUACCUCUGUCAUGAGCGCCUUUCCGAGGUGUGAUUGAAAACACAGUGAAUGCUGCCACAGAGCCCAGCAUCCAGUGGGAAGGCAGCCUGGUGAAACAUUGCAGUGUGUGCUCAUUUACCCUGUCCACCGGAUGUGACACCUUGCGACUCCCAGCUCCUCCCCAGAGCUGCAAUGAGCAGGAAAUGGAAACGUUUUGAAUGGAUUCGAGAAGAAGAGGCAGCCAUGACUGCCAGCUGAAGACUCUCACAGAAGAGGGCUUCAGAAAGGGGCAAGGAUGACGAAGAAGCUUUUUGGGCUGGGGGGUAGCAUCCUGAGGGGGUCAAUGGCAUUGUGCCUUUUACUGGGAUAACUCAAAACAAUUUAAACAUUUGCCAUAUUUUUCAGUUAUACCUUGUACAAAUAGCUUUGUAUUUCAGAACAAAAGUUAGUUUUAGGUUGGGAACUGAACCGAGGCCCUUCCUCAGCAAGGAACUUGCUCCUUGCUCUGCAAUGCCUGUAUCGUUUCUCUUCCGGCUGCUGAGCAAGCCAAAGGUAAAGGGUAGUGAGUGAACACAGCCCUGGCCAGCAGGCAUCUUGGAUUUCCCCUCCGUUCCCUGACUAAUUAGACCUUCUGCAAUCCAGCCCCACCAAGUGUGCAGUGACAGUGUCCAGCCAACUUGAAUAAAUCUUUCAAUUCCAAUGUUUAGAAAAAACAGGCUCUAUUCUGUUAGCCUGGCUUCUAGGAGAAUUCUGUCUUUCCAGUAAAUGUCAGGAAAAGACACAAAGAAAGCCUUAGCGCAUAGAAAACACACAUGUAACCCCACCCCCACCGAACACAGCUCUUCCAGCCGCAGUGCUCCCAGCCAGCCUAGUCAUGCAUUUGCCUCUCUCCAAGAGUCUUACUACAUUUUGUCUCCACCAUCAUCAAGAAGGCACUUUCUUUUAGCACCUGAGUAUAUGGUGAUUUAAUGUAAGUGAGGACUGUCUGUGCCUCCUCCCUUCUUUUGAGAAAAGUCAGUGUCACGAUGAAUCAAGGCCUGGACUCUGGG
ensembl:lincRNA